AUUCACACUACAUUAACCCUAUAAGUAGCCAUGAGUUCUGGGUUAGUGAGAACCAGAAACCUAAACCUGAUCCACCCAAAUUGAAGAGGCCAUCAGGAAGGCCAAAGAAGAGUAGAAGAAGGGAUGUGCAUUCAGAAGCUGCCACUAGUGCAUCACAAAAGCUGACCCGGACUUGGAAGCCGAAAUGUCCAAAAUACAAUGAAGAAGGUCAUUAUACUAAAACUUGCAAGGGUCCUGCCAUGAAGAAGAUGAAGAAGAAUGCACCAAAUGAUCCUCCACCAACUGUUGAACAAGAUGUACAACAAUCACUUACACAAGAAAGUGUCAAUCGGAAUGUUAGAUACCUCGUUCUCCUAUUUGAAGAUGAUCCUCC
rnacentral:lncRNA from 1 species